GUGUUGUAUAAAAGGUGACUUCUCCUUAGCACUUCUCUUGACAAGGAUGGAAGGGGCCCUCUGGCCUUGCAACACCUUGAUGAUUAAGGCAUUGCCACUUUUUUUUUUUUUUUU
rfam:Mesocricetus auratus contig025074, whole genome shotgun sequence.